rnacentral:RNase_P_RNA from 1 species
GCUGGUCAGUAGGCAGUCGCUCUUUGUCGCAAGACAGGGGGAGGAAAGUCCGAACACUGUCGUCAUACCUUUCGAGGUGUGGCGGUAAAAUGGUAGCGGGUAACGCCCGUCUGGUGUAAACCAAGAGGUGCGAACAGAAACGACCCGGUUAAGUCCGGCUGAAACGGCAAAAUCCUUACUGCAGUGCAAGGCCGUGUCUGCACACCAAUCAUGGCAUUGUGUCUAAGUUUUUUGUAAAUUUGAAACUAGAUUCAAUACUAAACAAUCUAAAAUUCAAUUGGUUUUUAAAAAUUGAUUUUAGACACAAAAAACGAUGCCAUAAUUGGUGUGCAGAAGUGCCGCUAGAACCAAGUAGUAAUAUUUGGUCCAGAUAAAUGAUUGUCCAAGACAGAAUUCGGCUUAUCGCUGGCCAGCUAAA